rnacentral:rRNA from 1 species
GUAUGGAGCAAGCGUUAUCCGGAUNUACUGGGUGUAAAGGGAGCGUAGGCGGUCCUGCAAGUCUGAUGUGAAAGGCCGGGGCUCAACCCCGAGACUGCAUUGGAAACUGUAGGACUAGAGUGUCGGAGGGGUAAGNGGAAUNCCUAGUGUAGCGGUGAAAUGCGUAGAUAUUAGGAGGAACACCAGUGGCGAAGGCGGCUUACUGGACGACUACUGACGCUGAGGCUCGAAAGUGCGGGUAUCGAACAGGAUUAGAUACCCUGGUAGUCCGCACGGUAAACGAUGGAUGCCCGCUGUUGGUCUGAACAGGUCAGCGGCCAAGCGAAAGCAUUAAGCAUCUCACCUGGGGAGU